rnacentral:rRNA from 1 species
GUGGGGCCAUCCACGAUCCGUGAGCACGAACGCAUAAUUCCCCCUGGGGAGUACGGCCCAAGGCUAAACUCAAAGGAAUUGACGGGGACCGCCAAGCGCGGAGCAUGCGGAUUAAUUCGAUCAACGCGAAGACCUUACAAGGCUUGACAUAUAGAGGAACGUCUGGAAACAGUCGCCCGCAAGGUCUCUAUACAGGUGGUGCAUGGUUGUCGUCAGCUCGUGUCGUGAGAUGUUGGGUUAAGUCCCGCAACGAGCGCAACCCUCGUUCUAUGUUGCCAGCACGUAAUGGUGGGAACUCAUGGGAUACUGCCGGGGUCAACUCGGAGGAAGGUGGGGAUGACGUCAAAUCAUCAUGCCCCUUAUGUCUUGGGCUUCACGCAUGCUACAAUGGCCGGUACAAAGGGCUGCAAUACCGUAAGGUGGAGCGAAUCCCAAAAAGCCGGUCCCAGUUCGGAUUGAGGUCUGCAACUCGACCUCAUGAAGUCGGAGUCGCUAGUAAUCGCAGAUCCAGCAACGCUGCGGUGAAUACGUUCCCGGGUCUUGUACACACCGCCCGUCAAGUCAUGAAAGUCGGUAACACC